GUGCCAGCAGCCGCGGUAAUACGGAAGGUCCGGGCGUUAUCCGGAUUUAAUUGGGUUUAAAGGGAGCGCAGGCUGAUGAUUAAGCGUGUUGUGAAAUGUACCGGCUCAACCGGUGACCUGCAGCGCGAACUGGUUGUCUUGAGUGGGUGCGACGUCGGCGGAAUUCGUGGUGUAGCGGUGAAAUGCUUAGAUAUCACGAAGAACCCCGAUUGCGAAGGCAGCUGACGAGUCCCUUACUGACGCUAAAGCUCGAAGGUGCGGUAUCGAACAGGAUUAGAUACCCUGGUAGUCCGCACGGUAAACGAUGGAUGCCCGCUGUUGGCGAUACAUUGUCAGCGGCCAAGCGAAAGCGUUAAGCAUCCCACCUGGGGAGUACGCCGGCAACGGUGAAACUCAAAGGAAUUGACGGGGGCCCGCACAAGCGGAGGAACAUGUGGUUUAAUUCGAUGAUACGCGAGGAACCUUACCCGGGCUUGAACUGCAGAGGAAGGAAUGAGAGAUCAUGACGCCCUUCGGGGCCUCUGUGGAGGUGCUGCAUGGUUGUCGUCAGCUCGUGCCGUGAGGUGUCGGCUUAAGUGCCAUAACGAGCGCAACCCCUCUUGUCAGUUGCCAUCAGGUGAUGCUGGGCACUCUGGCGAUACUGCCACCGUAAGGUGCGAGGAAGGUGGGGAUGACGUCAAAUCAGCACGGCCCUUACGUCCGGGGCUACACACGUGUUACAAUGGGUGGUACAGAGAGUAAGUCCCCAGCAAUGUGGAUUCAAUCAUGAAAGCCAUCCUCAGUUCGGAUUGGGGUCUGCAACCCGACCCCAUGAAGCUGGAUUCGCUAGUAAUCGCGCAUCAGCCAUGGCGCGGUGAAUACGUUCCCGGGCCUUGUACACACCGCCCGU
rnacentral:rRNA from 1 species